rnacentral:lncRNA from 1 species
GUUUUGGAGUUUAUUAAUCUGCUGCUCAUUUUCGAAAAUGCCAUCAGCAUCUUUCCUGUAACAUGUAGAGGGCCCCCUCCUUUGGAAACUGCGGUGUAUGGCUGGCAGGUGCAAUUGUUUGACCAUUUCUGAGUAGCGCUCAUUUCUGCAGGCUUCUGCCAGUUUGGAGCUGUCACAAGCAAGGCUGCCGGGGGCCUCUUUGCUCCUUUAUGUUUGGACACCAAUGGUUGCUUUGCUGUAGGAAAGACGAGAUUGCUGGUGAGACAGCAGCCACUGCUCCCAGGCCCGACAACAGGGGCAGCACCAAAGCUGGUCAGUGUUUCCUCCUUACAGGUCUGAAGGUGCUGCAGAGGAGGGUGCUUCCCAGAGAUCACCCCUGUGACAGACAGAUCGAUUGAAGGACCCCUGAAUGGCUGAAUUGAGAAGAACAAGCAUAUUAGGAGGCCAUACAAUGGGAGCCUCUCAGGCAGACAGACAAAGCCGUGGAAACUGCAGACUUAUUUGUAUGUUCUGGUAAACACCUUUGCUUCAUUUUCCCCGUCUCCGCCUGGACUGAGGGUCACCUCACCUCUCCUGGUGUCCAGAGCCUCCUUCAGGACAGAUGUUGCAAACCUGAGUUCUCACAAACAGCGGGGUCCAGCCCUUCUCAACACUGGAAAGCCCUUGAGCCAUCUUUGAUUUGUGUGUUUUGAUCUAAUUGCACUACUGCUUGCAAUGCUUGUUUUUAGCGGUGAGUGCUGGUUUAAUUUGUUUCUUUCUGGUCUCCCAGCCCCACUCCAGAAUUUUGGCUCCUGGAGAGGAGGGGCCCUGAACUGGCAUUUUCAGUGAAGCAUCCCAGUGCCUUGAAUCCAGUAAGCAGCCAGGUGUCUGUUGGCUUCAUGGUUUAACAACCUACCAUUUGAAGAAUCGCAGAGAUGAAUUAAAAAGAGCCCCGGAGAGGCUCCCCGAUCCAGUUGCACUUCCUGCUUAAGCAAAGUAAAGAAAAACAGGAAUGAAAACAUAACCCAAUGGGUUAGUUCCAUGCUGGCCAUUGAUGAGGUUGCAGCCACCAUCAGAAGAAGGCCAAACGGUUAGAAAGACACGGCGGUGAGGAAGAUGAGCCUCAUUAUCGACUGUCACCUGCAGCCCUGCACAGGUGCUCAGAAUCUAACACUUGAUGGCUGGUUGAGAUUCCCGGAGUCCUAAUUAGGAAUGAGGAGUCAGGCUGGCAGGACCCAGGGAAAGCAAAAAGAGAAGGCAGAGAAGCUCCAAGUCUGCCUGUCUUCGUGAUCCAGAACACGUAGUCCUGCUGCACAAGUAACUCACAAUCUUCCUGUGUCCAGCUGUCAUUAGACCCUUGGCUGAUAGAAAAAUGCAAGUUAGCACACUGCAGCCUCGGUGUCGUCAGUACUGCACGUCACUCUCUCCAGCACACCGCGGCCUCGGCGUCAUCAGCACUGCACGUCGCUCUCUCCAGCACACCGCGGCCUCGGCGUCGUCAGCACUGCACGUCGCUCUCUCCAGCACACCGCGGCCUCAGCGUCAUCAGCACUGCACGUCGCUCUCUCCAGCACACCGCGGCCUCGGCGUCGUCAGCACUGCACGUCGCUCUCUCCAGCACACCGCGGCCUCGGUGUUGUCAGUACUGCACGUCGCUCUCUCCAGCACACAGCACAAGCACCAUCCUAUCAAGUCCCCAGCAAGCCUUUGUCUCCUUGCAGUCAGCUCCUCUCUUGCUGGCCUGCCUGUUGCCUCCUUGCUGUGUAUUUUCCUACUUUCUCUAAUUUGCCUUUUUUUUUUAUUUUUGAGAUGAAAUUUUGCCUCAGCCUCCCAA